rnacentral:ncRNA from 2 species
UUUGAAGAUAGAGGAGCAAUAAUUAAGAGUAAUUCUAAGGAGCUAGUGUAGGCUAAGAAUUAGAAUAAAAGGGAUUAUUGCCGAAAUUUUAAAGUCAGCACAGGCUUUAAAGUUGGGACUAUGAUUAAUAGUCAUAGUACUGUCAUUAAGAAAUUAGUGAAGGGCUAUCUUAUAU